rnacentral:rRNA from 1 species
AGUUUAAAUUUUAAUUUUUUUUUUUUUUUUGUGUUUAUAUUAAAGUUUUUUAAUUUGUUUUUUAUUUUUUUCAUUAAAUUUUUUUUUUUUAGUUUAAUUUACUGUAAGGGAUUAUUUUAAUUUGUUUUGAAGAUUAAUUUAAUUUUGUACCUUUUGUAUCAGGGUUAAUUAAUUUUUUUUAUUUAUUUUAUUUUCCCGAAUUUUUAAGAGUUAUUUUAUUUUGUAUUUUAUUGUUAAAUAAAUAUUUAUAAAUUUAGAUUAGUUUUGAAAUGAAAAUCAUUUAAUUUUAUAUCUGGUUAAUUGAGAAUUUAAUUUAAUUAAGGAUUUCAAUUUAUUUUAUUCAAGAUUUUGAUUUCUAAUUUUAUGGGGGAUAAUCUCUUUAAAUAAAUAUAAUUAUUUGUUUAAUUAAUUUUUUUUGUAGUCUUGGAAUUUGUCAUCAUUUUAAGUUUGUUAAUAAUUAUUUAUUUUUUUUUUUAUUAUUUAUUUUUUUAUCAAUUUUUUUAAAUUAUUUUUUUAUUUUUUUUAUAAUGAUUUAAUUAGUAAUUUUAAAAUUCAUUUAUAUGAAUUCGGCAAAUAUAAUUUUCGCCUGUUUAUCAAAAACAUGUCCUUUAGUUUGUAUUAAAGGUCUAGCCUGCUCAAUGGUUAAUCUAAAUAGCCGCGGUAUGUUGACUGUGCUAAGGUAGCAAAAUAAUUAGUCUUUUAAUUGAGGUCUGGAAUGAAUGGUUGGACGAAAAAUGUACUUUAUUUUUUUGAUUUUUUUUGAAUUUAAAUUUUUGGUUAAAAUGCCAAAAUUUUUUUGAGGGACGAUAAGACCCUAUAGAUCUUUAUAAUUUUAAUUUUUUAUUUUUUUUUUAGUUUAUUUUUAUUUUAAUUAUUAAAUUUAUUUUGUUGGGGUGAUAAUUAAAAAUUUAAACUUUUUUUUUUUUUUACAUUUUUCUUUGGUUUUUUGAUCCUUCUUUUUGAUUAAAAGAUAAAGAUACCUUAGGGAUAACAGCGUAAUACAUUUGGAGAGUUCUUAUUGAUAGAUGUUGUUUGCGACCUCGAUGUUGGAUUAAAAUAUAACUGUGGUGUAGGUUUUACAGUGAUAGGUCUGUUCGACCUUUAAAAUUUUACAUGAUCUGAGUUCAGACCGGCGUGAGCCAGGUUGGUUUCUAUCUUCUUAAAAUUUUUUCUAAUUAGUACGAAAGGACUUUUAGUAAAUAAUAUUUAUU